GACGAACGCUGGCGGCGUGCUUAACACAUGCAAGUCGAGCGGUAAGGCCCUUUCGGGGUACGACGAGCGGCGAACGGGUGAGUAACACGUGGGUGACCUGCCCUCAGCUCUGGGAUAAGCCUGGGAAACUGGGUCUAAUACUGGAUAUGACUCCACGGUGCAUGUCGUGGGGUGGAAAGCCUUGUGCGGCUGAGGAUGGGCCCGCGGCCUAGCAGCUUGUUGGUGGGGUGAUGGCCUACCAAGGCGACGACGGGUAGCCGGCCUGAGAGGGCGACCGGCCACACUGGGACUGAGACACGGCCCAGACUCCUACGGGAGGGCAGCAGUGGGGAAGUCUUGCGCAAUGGGCGAAAGCCUGACGCAGCGACGCCGCGUGAGGGAUGACGGCC
rnacentral:rRNA from 1 species